rnacentral:rRNA from 1 species
UGGGGAAUAUUGGACAAUGGGCGCAAGCCUGAUCCAGCAACGCCGCGUGGAGGACGAAGGUCUUCGGAUCGUAAACUCCUGUCAGACGGGGCGAAGGUAACGGGGCGAACAGUCUCGUUGCUUGACGGUACCGUCAGAGGAAGCCCCGGCUAACUCCGUGCCAGCAGCCGCGGUAAUACGGAGGGGGCGAGCGUUAUUCGGAAUUAUUGGGCGUAAAGGGCGCGUAGGCGGCUUGGCAAGUCAAAGGUGAAAUCCCUCGGCUCAACUGAGGAACUGCCUUUGAAACUGCUUGGCUCGAGUCCGGGAGGGGGUAGCGGAAUUCCCAGUGUAGCGGUGAAAUGCGUAGAUAUUGGGAGGAACACCAGUGGCGAAGGCGGCUACCUGGACCGGUACUGACGCUGAUGCGCGAAAGCGUGGGUAGCAAACAGG